rnacentral:rRNA from 1 species
UACGUAGGGGGCAAGCGUUGUUCGGAAUUACUGGGCGUAAAGCGCGUGUAGGCGGCUCUUCAAGUCGAGUGUGAAAGCUCCAGGCUUAACCUCGGAACUGCCUUCGAUACUGCGGGUCUCGAGUCCGGGAGAGGUGAGUGGAAUUCCUAGUGUAGAGGUGAAAUUCGUAGAUAUUAGGAAGAACACCAGUGGCGAAGGCGGCUCACUGGCCCGGUACUGACGCUGAGGCGCGAAAGCGUGGGGAGCAAACAGG